UACGAAGGGGGCUAGCGUUGUUCGGAAUUACUGGGCGUAAAGCGCGCGCAGGCGGUCUUCCAAGUCAGUGGUGAAAGCCCGGAGCUCAACUCCGGAACUGCCAUUGAAACUGUAAGACUUGAGGAUGAGAGAGGUGAGUGGAAUUCCCAGUGUAGAGGUGAAAUUCGUAGAUAUUGGGAAGAACACCGGUGGCGAAGGCGGCUCACUGGCCCGAUACUGACGCUGAGGUGCGAAAGCGUGGGGAGCGAACAGG
rnacentral:rRNA from 1 species